CUCCCCCGUGGAGCGAAGUUGCUGCCCGGUUCCGUCAGCGGGAGCCGCGGCACAAGGGCGGACACCAGCGGAAGCCCAGCGGCCGCUCGGCCGCCACCCGGGCUUAUCGCGCUACAAACGGGAGCCGUCCUCUUCUCGGGACCAGCGAGGCACAAUAAGCGCGCUGUUUCAUGACGGGGAUCCGGGGCUGGAGACGGGAGCAAGGAACUCUGCUGCAGACAGCCUCUUCGGGGCGGGGGCGGGGGUUUCGGAGCACAGACGUGAGAUGUCCGCGAGCCCAGAGGCAGGGACCGGGGCCGCCCGGGACCGGGGCCGCCCGGGACCGGGGCCGCCGCGUCCUCUACUAGUUGUGCUUUCCAGAAGUUAGGGACGCCCGUCCUAGCAGGGAUCAUCUUCCGUAUUUCUUGGAAUCCUACCCGUAAAACUUUAGGGACCAGACAAGUUAAUGUCUCACAAAACGGGGGAUCCGGACCCAGAUUCUCCAGCUUCCAAUCUUGUCCUCUUUCCGUUGCACCACACUGAAUGGAAGUGUGAGGUUAAGCACUGGCAGAAAAGUGUUUCUUUAAGAUCUUCAACCACAGCAUGGAAAAAUGACCCUGUUCUUUAAAAGAUGCUAACAGAGUACCAAGUUCUUCCAAAAUGGAUUGUGAAUAUGGGCCAGCCAGGCCAAAAAAGGACUUGGCAUCAGUUCAAGAAGGCUUACUAACAGAAGGCUGGCCACUAGGUGACCUUUUUUUUUUUUUUUUUAACCACUGAAACUAAAGACUAUUCUUUGCAUCAACAGAAGCUGCCAUACUCAUGAAAUAAUACAUUUUUAAGUAAUGCAGU